CCUACGGGAGGCUGCAGUGGGGAAUAUUGGACAAUGGGGGGAACCCUGAUCCAGCCAUGCCGCGUGUGUGAAGAAGGCCCUCGGGUUGUAAAGCACUUUCAGUGAGGAAGAACGCCUGGUGGUUAAUACCCAUCAGGAAAGACAUCACUCACAGAAGAAGCACCGGCUAACUCCGUGCCAGCAGCCGCGGUAAUACGGAGGGUGCGAGCGUUAAUCGGAAUUACUGGGCGUAAAGCGCGCGUAGGUGGCUUGAUAAGCCGGUUGUGAAAGCCCCGGGCUCAACCUGGGAACGGCAUCCGGAACUGUCAAGCUAGAUUGCAGGAGAGGAAGGUAGAAUUCCCGGUGUAGCGGUGAAAUGCGUAGAGAUCGGGAGGAAUACCAGUGGCGAAGGCGGCCUUCUGGACUGACACUGACACUGAGGUGCGAAAGCGUGGGUAGCAAACAGGAUUAGAUACCCUAGUAGUC
rnacentral:rRNA from 1 species